GCGGGUGUAGUUCAAUGGUAGAACACCAGCCUUCCAAGCUGGUUGCGUGGGUCCGAUUCCCAUCAUCCGCUCCA
rnacentral:tRNA from 1 species